rnacentral:rRNA from 1 species
GAUGAACGCUGGCGGCGUGCCUAAUACAUGCAAGUCGAGCGAACAGACGAGGAGCUUGCUCCUCUGACGUUAGCGGCGGACGGGUGAGUAACACGUGGAUAACCUACCUAUAAGACUGGGAUAACUUUGGGAAACCGGAGCUAAUACCGGAUAAUAUAUUGAACCGCAUGGUUCAAUAGUGAAAGACGGUUUUGCUGUCACUUAUAGAUGGAUCCGCGCCGCAUUAGCUAGUUGGUAAGGUAACGGCUUACCAAGGCAACGAUGCGUAGCCGACCUGAGAGGGUGAUCGGCCACACUGGAACUGAGACACGGUCCAGACUCCUACGGGAGGCAGCAGUAGGGAAUCUUCCGCAAAGGGCGAAAGCCUGACGGAGCAACGCCGCGUGAGUGAUGAAGGUCUUCGGAUCGUAAAACUCUGUUAUUAGGGGAGAACAAAUGUGUAAGUAACUAUGCACGUCUUGACGGUACCUAAUCAGAAAGCCACGGCUAACUACGUG